AAGCCCUUUGAUUGUCCUACAUUUGGCCAGCUUCCAGCAUUGCUGCAUGAUGAUUAAGUGUGCUUUUACCCAAAAAAGUUCAGAAAAGCUUAAAUUAUUCUUGAAAAACAGAAAGCGUUAUCAGACUUUUUACACAAUGUAAAGCCCAGAUAAUGUCCAGCUUUCCCUACCUCUAGACAGAUGCGGCAAAGUGACCAAUCACCAAGAGCACGGAAGAGAUACAGAUCUAAAGCCCAGAAGUGCAGCAUGCAUUACUGAUGCCUCUGUCAGUGCCGGUCCAGAGUCAAGAAGAAUCAUGCAGUCAUUCAUUUACUGGAUUAACACUUGCCAGCUACUAAAGGAUAUAAAAUGAAUGAGAUGGAUGUGGUCCUACUCUUAGGAACUGCUAAAUUUGAGAAUAUGGAUAAGUAAGCAG